CAGAGGCCAGAACACAGAAGGUGGGCAGCGCGGAACUGAAGGCGGGCGAUGUGGGCACCUCAGACAAAGGCACCUACUGGCUCUUAGCUGCUGGCUGCUCUGUGUCUGGUCCAACUCUGGCUCCUUCUGAACUCUACUCUGUCCUUCUAUGGCUUGCUGCCUCAGACCCUCCACGUAGCACUGCUGUUGCUCGGUCUGGGCUCUGUGGGAUAUUUCGCCACUUCUUGAUGUCUGCUGGUCCUUGUCACACUCCUCUUCUAGCACCUUCCUGUGACAAAAGGUCCAGGGUUACCCAAGCAAACCGAACUCAGGACAAACAGGUCCUGUUCCCUCAGGUGCAUAGCUCUGCAUUGUUGGUUAUAAGAGAAACCAUAAAGAAGAGAUUCGUUUUUCAGAAUCAGAGGAAGCUAACAGAUAUAUAUGGUAUGAGCUCACACAUCAGGAUUUAAAGAGAACUGUGGGGAAGUGAGGUUUAGAAGCAGUACCAGAGAUGUCUGCUAACACUUCCCAGUUAAGUCUUGUCAGAGAAGAGAGAUGAAAUACCAAGCAGGAAGCAAAUGAGGGCCAUGGCUACCUCCCUGCCAGCUGCCAACUAUGGACUGAGAAGCAAACCCAGGAGACUCCACUGGUACAAGCAGCAGAUUCUCACCUUUCCUUCCAAAGCACAGGACAGAGACCCAGUCUUGAGGCGGUGACAUCUCCAUCCAAGUCCAGCCAUUCCAAAGAGCCACUGCUGCCGACGGCCUCUCCGACCUGGGAUGAGGAAAAAGCAGUGAGCCCAAUGGGGCGGUGUGGAAGCUUCCCUAACAGCCACUCAGAAGUCGCAGCCAUGCUUACCUUAGGCCUGUGGUGCCGCAGCAAAGCAGCCUCGGCUGGGUGGUUAAAUCGGAACUUCUGUGCCUUCCCCAGUGUUAGGACAGCUCCUUUGACACAGAUAAAUGAGUUCAGUCCAUGACUGUGCUCCGAGUACAUACUGGGAGAUAAACUAAUGCCUACAACAAGUUGAUAAUUUUGCUAAGUUGAUAUGCAUUAAUUAUACAUCUCUCAAUUAUACUCAAAUAAGCAGCAAGACAAGUUCCAGGGCACGUAGUCAGAGAAACUUCAGGAAGAGGCAGACUGAGUUCAGCUUCAGAGGAUGGGAUCUGAAGAGAUUAGUACUAGAGGCAUACGGACACCAAGUCUUUACAGCACACUACCAAGAACUUCAGAAAAACAGGUUUCAUCCAAUCCUGCCCUAUGCUCCCAUUAUCACAGAUGAAGAAACUGAGGUUCAGAUCAACAAGUACAAAUUUCCAAGUCAUUCUCUACUCUUGGGUCCUAGAAGGGGAAGGAUCAUAUUAGGAAAUCUUCAGGUCUCUGGGUGUAGAGGCUGAGUAACACAUGACUGAAGCUUGCUUCAUUGAGCUCUUUGGACCCAUCAGAUUGAAGCUGUCCAUCAUUCAUCCAGAUAAACACAGGGAGGGAGGUAGACAGUCCUACCUUGUGUCAGACGGCAGGAAGCAGUGACCUCUCGGCCGUUCACUGUACAGCGUGCCCCUUGGGUAGGCCGCAGAGUGACCACUCCACGAGUGCUAAUGAUGGUGCAGUGGUCCUUCUCAAUCCACUGGCCCUCAAGGACUAAGGAGGCGGGGAGGAGACAACCAGAGUGGGAACCAUUCAAGAGAAUGCUUCUUCCAGUUGGGACAAGAUCCAACCCACAGUUGGAAUAUUCCCAUCACAACAAGAAAGGAACACCCACCACCUGAAACCGCCCAGAACUCAAAGUCUCCCCCUGAAUAAGCCUCCUCCUUCCAACUUCCAGACCCAAAAGCUGGCAGCAGAAAGAGAAGCAGACCCUUAACGCUUCAGACACUCCUUUUCUCUCCAAGACCAUCAGCUUCCUUUAGUAAAUCUUUCAGGCACCAAUAGCUGCCUGUGUGUCAGACUACCUACCAAUGUCCUGUUCCUGGUCUGAAUCAAUCCUCCCUAUUUUUGUUGUCCCCUCCUGUGGGGAGGAAAGAAAUAAGACAUUUCAAUAAGAAUAAAAAGAGACAUAGCCCUGCCGCAAAGCA